UAUUAAAAAAUUCAUCCAUUUUACUACUAAAAACUGGCAUAGCUAAUGAAAAAAUUAAACAGUUAUAUAUGGCAUGCCAUGUACACCUCAUGAUGACGUAUAAGAACAAAUUUUUAAUAGUAAAAUGGAUAAAAAUUUUAACA
rfam:Gossypium raimondii Chr04_contig_140, whole genome shotgun sequence.